ensembl:lncRNA
ACAUACUAUUGCAACUCACAAUAGUGUGUGAGGUUUUGGUGGCUGGAGAUUUGGUAGAAAAGAGAUGAGGUGCUCCAAACCAAGGUUGCAGUCCUGACAUUCCAGCAGAAAGCUAAGGAAACUCUCCUGAAGUCAAGCAGUUCCUUACAAACCACAUGAGAGCCAAGCCAAGAGCAUUCUCUUUCCAGGGAUCUACAGAAAAGUCUGGUUGAUCUGUAUACCUUUUCUUCACGUGUUACUCUUCUACAGGGAUGGUUGGACUAGAUUAUCUUGGAGAUUUUUUUCAGCCUUGCCCCAUUGGAGGCACAGACCUAAGGCAAAUAGAGGAGAAUAUGAUGCAGCUGCAGAUCCUGGCAAGUGGAACUAUACCCCCAAAAGAUUCAGUUCAGUCAGAAGCGUGCAUUGCGAUGGUAACAGGUGAGGCAGCUUAGUUGUUCAUUGCUAAAGAAACAUUUCUGAAAUCAUUAACUGUCAUCAAGUGGGAGAAAAGGCAUAAUCUUUGACACUGCAUGUUUGCAAAUGGGAUUGGGAAAACAUGGUGGACAUCUUUGAACACUUCAAUCAGAAAUGAACAUAGUUGGGUCAGAUACUCUGUUUUACUGAACUAUGCACUGAAAGCCAGUCAUUUGGGGUCUCCUGGCUACUUGAAGCUGAUGCAGCCAAAACUUGGCACCCAAAACUUGGAACAGCAGAACAGCAUCUUCAGGGAGUAGCCUGGGAACAUUUGAGAGCUGUGUGAGAGCUGUGGAAGCCUUCCUUGCCCAAACCUCUUCCAUAACUCUUUUGAUGAGGUUAGUCAUGAGAGUGUUAAGAUGAUCUGUGGUCAUUUUCUAACUGUUAGUAUACUGAACUCUUCUGGUCAGAAUGAUGAAAGUGAAGAAUUUUCUGAGACUAAUAUAACAUUGUUUCUGGAGAGCAAUACGUUGCUUCUUCACUGCAAUAGAAAUAGAAAAAGACUGUGAUCUUACAAUUACCUUUAAGGAGCUGCAAGCACAAAGCUGCAGCAGGUCAGCGUCAUGCAGGCUGUGUGGUGGCAGGCAAGAAAUUCAGCUGCUGCCUUCUUGCAUCCUCCUUCCUAGUGACUGCCUGGCCCUGACCUGAGACAUUUCACAUGAGCUGUUGUGUUGCGUAUCAGAGCUUAAAGAGAUCUGGACAGAGAUGGCAGCAGGAAGGCACUGUAGGGCUGGGCUGCUCUGGCACUGAAUCUAACCCACUGCUGAACAGCUCCUGGUGCUGAGGUUAGGGUAGGGGCUGGAGGGAAGGAGAUGGAAAGAACAAAAGGAAUUAGGGGAGGUGCAAAACCAUUCUCUCCUCUAAGUAGCUAGGAGCUGACCUGAGGUCUUUUGGGGGUAUUUCUGAGGGCAUUUUCCCAAAUGUUUCCUCCAUUGCAUCUGCUUCUUGGAGGGAAAAAAGCAGAUUCCCCAGUGAAAGUUAGUCUUGCAGCCUCUCAACUGCAGGGGAUAACCACAUUUUCCUUCUCGGGGCUGUGUCUGAACAACUGGAGUUCUAAUGGUGACAUAUGCUCCACAGAACACAUAAAGGUCUAUCAGACUUCAUGUUUUUUGUGCUAAUAACCAGUUGAAUUUGGAAAUAGUCCUGGUUUUGUAUGUUUUCUUUUCUUACUAAUUUGUUUUCCUGGCUUGUCUGAACUUUGUUACAGUCUAUGGAAGUAACUCACUUUCAUAGAUGUUGGCAGCAAAUGGUCUAUUUCUGUAUAAGGCUGAAGUUCACAUGUAGCCCUCCUGUUUAUGUUCCUUUGAACUGUUAAAAAAAAAUCAGCAGGAAAUCUGUAUUGAAGAAUAAAACAACAGCUACAAGGCAAAUUUUCUGGGGGAAAAUAAAAAAACAGUAAAAAAAUACUGGAAUUCAGGUUUGC